CCCUCAUUUUCUAAAACAUUUGCACGCAAUCCUCCCCAAAUUUCUUCUUUCUUCAACUCCUUUCUGUCCUGUUUCAACCCCAAAUUUCUUACUUGUCGUUGCGAUGUUCCUCUUCUUCAUUAGUAGCGCAGCAACAUGAGAGUUCCUUUUCCCUUCUCUUUUCUUUCGCGUAGAACACCUGAAGCUACUUCGGCCAUUCGUCGCUUGCCCUUCGUCGGUCGUCCAAUGCAUUUCGUCGCUCCUCUUCGAACCAUUCAAUCAACUUGGAGCGUUUUCUCUUAUUUUGGAACUAAAAAACUUAAGGUAGUUUAAGGAUGACACACGUUCGGAUUUUAGUGCGUUACCGUGGUGCAUGGGAUGAGAAACGAAGAAAAUAUGAAGGAGGAUUGUUAAAAGGCAUCGUUAUCAGUAAAGAAAUAACACACAAAGAUUUACAAGAUGAAUUAUAUGACCUUGUAGAAGUUGACCCUACAAAGUUCGACAUAAAGAUAAGAUGUAUAUAUAUGAGAUGAAAGGAGAAAAGGAAGCUCCUCCAUUUGAGUUAAGUAAUGAACGUGUCACACCCCCUCCCGGACUACCUGCUACCUUAGACCGAAAGAUGGCGUGAAGCGACGAACAACGUUAUUCUGUACCUGUAUCUGUCGACUCUUCUUAAAAAUUUCAUGUGAUGAACUUGCCAAU